rnacentral:rRNA from 1 species
UACAGAGGUCCCGAGCGUUGUCCGGAUUUAUUGGGCGUAAAGAGCUCGUAGGCGGCUCGUCGCGUCGGCUGUGAAAACCUGCCGCUCAACGGUAGGCGUGCAGCUGAUACGGGUGGGCUAGAGUUCGGUAGGGGAGACUGGAAUUCCUGGUGUAGCGGUGAAAUGCGCAGAUAUCAGGAGGAACACCGGUGGCGAAGGCGGCCCGCUGGGCAGGAAGGCUCGCAAGAGCCGGCUGACGCUGAGGCGCGACAGCGUGGGGAGCAAACAGG